ensembl:lncRNA
AUAGCCGCCCCAUAGCUGCCCCAUAGCCACCCCAUAGCUGCCCCAUAGCUGCCCCAUAGCUGCCACACAGCCGCCCCAUAGCUGCCCCAUGGCGACCCCAUAGCUGCCCCAUGAAUGUCCUAGAGCUGCCCCAUAGCUGCUCCAUAACUGCCGCAUAGCUGCUCCAUAGCUGCCCCAUAGCCUCCCCAUAGCUGCCCCAUAGAUACCCCAUAGCCACCCCACAGCUGCCCCAUAGCCACCCCAUAGCUGCCCCAUAGCCGCCCCAUAGCUGCCCCACAGCUGCCCCAUAGCCGCCCCAUAGCCGCCCCAUGAAUGUCCUAUAGCUGUCCCAUAGCUGCUCCAUAACUGCCCCAUAGCCGCCCCACAGCCGCCCCACAACCACCCCACAACCACCCCACAGCCACCCCAUAACCACCCCACAGCCACCCCACAGCCACUCCAUUCCCAACCACCCCAUUCCCACCCCACAACCACCCCAUUCCCACCGCAUUCCCACCCCACCACCACCCCACAACCAUCCCACAGCCACCCCAUUCCCACCCCAUAACCACCCCACAACCACCCCAUUCCCACCCCAUAACCACCCCACUCCCCCCCCCUCCCGCCCCCCUCCUGCCCCACAGACCUUCAUAGACGGCGAAGAAGCCCUUCCCCACCCAGUUGCUGCUGCUGCGGAACUCGACCCACAGGCGGCUGUCGCUGGACACGAUGGGCUCGGGCAGCUUGUUGCCGCAGAACCGGCCUGCGCCACGACCGCGCUAUGGGGCGGCUGUGGGGCGGCUGUGGGGCAGGGCUAUGGGGCGGCUGUGAGGAGGUGCUAUGGGGAGGUGCUAUGGGGCAGGGCUAUGGGGCAGGGCUAUGGGGCGGCUAUGGGGCGGGGCUAUGGGGCGGCUAUGGGGCGGCUAUGGGGCAGGGCUAUGGGGCAGCUAUGGGGCGGCUGUGGGGCAGGGCUAUGGGGCAGGGCUAUGGGGUGGCUAUGGGGCGGCUAUGGGGCAGCUAUGGGGCAGCUGUGGGGCACAACAUGCAUGGGGAGCAGGAUGCGCGAUGGGGAGGGGGCUGGGAUUGGGGUGGGCACUGGGACGUGGGGCCCCACUGGGAUUUGGGGUCCCACUGUUGCAUGGGGUCCCACUGGGGUUUGGGGUCCCACGGGUCUGGGGUCCCACGGGUUUGGGGUCCCACAGGUCUGGGGUCGCACUGUUACAUGGGGUCCCACAGGUNNNNNNNNNNNNNNNNNNNNNNNNNNNNNNNNNNNNNNNNNNNNNNNNNNNNNNNNNNNNNNACUGGGGUUUGGGGUCCCACUGUUACAUGGGGUCCCACGGGUUUGGGGUCCCACGGGUCUGGGGUCCCACUGUUACAUGGGGUCCCAUUGGGGUUUGGGGUCCCACUGGGGUUUGGGGUCCCACGGGUUUGGGGUCCCACGGGUUUGGGGUGGCGCUGUGGCACCUCUGAGCGCCGCCUUCCUCCAGAAGCCGUCGCGCACCUCCACGUAGUCGUACCAGCACAGCCGGCUGCGGUACACGUCCAGCACCGAGAAGUUCAGCUGGAUCUGCGGGCAGCGGCGUC